AAUGCUUCUCCACCUUUUGGCUAAGAUCCAGUCAGUAUUUUCUUAUCAGUGUAAUAUCUGACACAUCCCUUAAUUGGGGAUCAUAUUAAAUUGAUUUUUGGAACAGGGACAUGGUUAGGAGGCUUCAGAAGACCCUGUUCUGAAGAAGGGUCAUAGGACUCAAAACAUUAACAGUUUUCUAUCUACA